rnacentral:rRNA from 1 species
AGUCGAACGAUGAUGCCCAGCUUGCUGGGUGGAUUAGUGGCGAACGGGUGAGUAACACGUGAGUAACCUGCCCCUGACUCUGGGAUAAGCGUUGGAAACGACGUCUAAUACUGGAUAUGAUCGCCGGCCGCAUGGUCUGGUGGUGGAAAGAUUUUUUGGUUGGGGAUGGACUCGCGGCCUAUCAGCUUGUUGGUGAGGUAAUGGCUCACCAAGGCGACGACGGGUAGCCGGCCUGAGAGGGUGACCGGCCACACUGGGACUGAGACACGGCCCAGACUCCUACGGGAGGCAGCAGUGGGGAAUAUUGCACAAUGGGCGAAAGCCUGAUGCAGCAACGCCGCGUGAGGGAUGACGGCCUUCGGGUUGUAAACCUCUUUUAGUAGGGAAGAAGCGAAAGUGACGGUACCUGCAGAAAAAGCACCGGCUAACUACGUGCCAGCAGCCGCGGUAAUACGUAGGGUGCAAGCGUUGUCCGGAAUUAUUGGGCGUAAAGAGCUCGUAGGCGGUUUGUCGCGUCUGCUGUGAAAUCCCGAGGCUCAACCUCGGGCUUGCAGUGGGUACGGGCAGACUAGAGUGCGGUAGGGGAGAUUGGAAUUCCUGGUGUAGCGGUGGAAUGCGCAGAUAUCAGGAGGAACACCGAUGGCGAAGGCAGAUCUCUGGGCCGUAACUGACGCUGAGGAGCGAAAGCAUGGGGAGCGAACAGGAUUAGAUACCCUGGUAGUCCAUGCCGUAAACGUUGGGCGCUAGAUGUAGGGACCUUUCCACGGUUUCUGUGUCGUAGCUAACGCAUUAAGCGCCCCGCCNUGGGGAGUACGGCCGCAAGGCUAAAACUCAAAGGAAUUGACGGGGGCCCGCACAAGCGGCGGAGCAUGCGGAUUAAUUCGAUGCAACGCGAAGAACCUUACCAAGGCUUGACAUACACCGGAAACGGCCAGAGAUGGUCGCCCCCUUGUGGUCGGUGUACAGGUGGUGCAUGGUUGUCGUCAGCUCGUGUCGUGAGAUGUUGGGUUAAGUCCCGCAACGAGCGCAACCCUCGUUCUAUGUUGCCAGCGGGUUAUGCCGGGGACUCAUAGGAGACUGCCGGGGUCAACUCGGAGGAAGGUGGGGAUGACGUCAAAUCAUCAUGCCCCUUAUGUCUUGGGCUUCACGCAUGCUACAAUGGCCGGUACAAAGGGCUGCGAUACCGUAAGGUGGAGCGAAUCCCAAAAAGCCGGUCUCAGUUCGGAUUGAGGUCUGCAACUCGACCUCAUGAAGUCGGAGUCGCUAGUAAUCGCAGAUCAGCAACGCUGCGGUGAAUACGUUCCCGGGCCUUGUACACACCGCCCGUCAAGUCAUGAAAGUCGGUAACACCCGAAGCCGGUGGCCUAACCC